rnacentral:rRNA from 1 species
GACGAACGCUGGCGGCGUGCUUAACACAUGCAAGUCGAACGAAGUGGCGAACGGGUGAGUAAUACGUGGGUAACCUGCCCUCCUUUUUGGGAUAAGCCUUGGAAACGGGGUCUAAUACCGCAUAUAGGGGGAUGGGCUCGCGGCCUAUCAGCGUGUUGGGGGGGUGAUGGCCUACCAAGGCGGUGACGGGUAGCCGGCGUGAGAGGGAAACCGGGCACAGUGGGACGGAGAUACCGCCCAGGAUACGACGGGGGGCGGCAGUGGGGGAUAUUGAACAAUGGGCGAAAGACUAAUGCGGCGACGCCGCGUGGGGGAUGAGGGCUUUCGGGUUGUAAACCUAUUGCGCUAUAGAGAGGGUAGGUAGAGAAGAAGCGACGGCUAACUACGUGCCAGCAGCCGCGGUAAUUC